rnacentral:tRNA from 1 species
UCAAGUCCCUCUAUCCCCACCUAUUGAACUUCCUAGUUAUUUAUUUGUUA